AACUGCUCAUGCUUCUCUUUUUCAGCCAAUUGUCAGCCUCGCCUUUGCUGGAAAGUCUGAGUAUCUCUUGUUUGUUUCGCAUGGUUUAAAACCACAACUGUCUGUUUGGAGUAUGUCAAAGUUAGCUAUGGCUUGGUCAUACCGGCUUCAAAUAGAAGUGUAUCAUAAAUAUUUUUUUCAUCAAGAGACAUAACACUGAUGUAGAAAAUAAAUUCUACAUGCCUUAUUAUUACUUGUCCAUAUUUUAAAUGUAUCGGUACGUAUGAAUUUAUUAUCGUAUCGUAGCAAACACCUUUAAUUUUCUGUCUUUGUAGAAGAGUUUUGUAUAGAUAAUCAUUUAUGUUUUGUCAUACUAACAGAGAGAGGGGGGAAGAGAUAAUCCUAUAUGUCUUGGAUUAAUUUUAUGUGCUUAAUUAGAACACAUUUUGGCAAACUAUAUUAGGGAAAUUAACCAUUUUUCAAUCUGAUAUCAUAUUUGCAACCUGUCCUUGCCACAACUAUCAUCCAAAAAUCUAGAUAAUAAAAAGGAACAACCCAGUUGUUUAUAAAGUAAAAUACUAUAGCUCAAUAAAUAAUGCACAAGAACAAGAAUAAAUUCAAAAUGAAUAUUUUAAUAUUAUACAACAAUUGUACCAAAUACAUUGCUCUAAAAAUAAUUCUACAAAGGGAUGUCAAUUCCCUGGCAAAUUGCCAAGGGAAGAGAACCUAUCUGCCUAAUUUGCCUAUGGAAUAAAAAUAUACACAUUAUAUUAUGGCAUAUGCAUUCAUGAUCUUGUGCCCUAUAUCAAUCAUAUUGGAUAUUCCAAUUGGCCAAAGCAAUUAGGUCCUUCCUUCAUCCCUUGUAACUUCUUUUUCUUACAAUGAUCCAACCCUAUAAAUGCAUCAUUUAUAAUUCUUGCAUCUAUUUGCAUCAUUACAAUAAUCUACUAAUAUGCCCCAUUUUGUAUUUACAAAGAGGGAUCAGGAAAUUAAUAGUAAUGGCUAGCAUAAAAGAUAUGAUCAUGUAAAAC